rnacentral:rRNA from 1 species
GUACACGCUGUGACUAGCAUAUCAAUAAGCGGAGGAAAAGAAACUAACAAGGAUUCCCCUAGUAACGGCGAGUGAAGCGGGAAGAGCUCAAAUUUGAAAUCUUAAAGGGUUUCCCUUUACGAAUUGUAGUUUAAAGAAGUGUUUUCUGUUGAGGUUUUGGUAAAAGUUCUUUGGAAUAGGACAUCAUAGAGGGUGAGAAUCCCGUAUUUGACCUUUACUUUCAACUUUGUGAUACACUUUCAAAGAGUCGGAUUGUUUGGGAAUGCAGGUCCAAAAUGGGUGGUAAAUUUCAUCUAAAGCUAAAUAUUGGCGAGAGACCGAUAGCGAACAAGUACCGUGAGGGAAAGAUGAAAAGAACUUUGAAAAGAGAGUUAAACAGUACGUGAAAUUGUCAAAAGGGAAGCGUUUGACACCAGUGUUGUUUUUCUGAAAAUCAAUUAAAGAACUGUUUAUGCUAAGUUGUUUAGACUUUAUCAGCUAUCUGUUUAGUUUUGAGCUUUUCUUUAAUGCACUUUUCAGUUAACAAGUCAACAUCAAUUUCUUUCGCUGUAAAAAAGCUUGAGGAAGGUGGCUUGAGAUUCGUCUUAAGUGUUUAUAGCCUCUUGCCUAUGCAGUCGGAGAGAUUGAGGUCUGCAGCGUAGAUCCUUCGGGGCUAAAUGCAUUUGUGCUAAGUUAUAGCAUUUUAUAGACAACUUGUUGACUAUGAUUUGUCUUGUAGCUUACUCGCUUAUGUUAUUUUACCUACGCUUAGGAUGUUGAAGAUGUAGCACAUCA